rnacentral:lncRNA from 1 species
AGAACAAACACCUCUCACCGGCUUUUUAAACCCCCGUGUUCUUCCACUGGGGGGUGCGAGCCACAGAGGAAGAGGGAACGGGAGGGAGAGCAUCGAGUCUCCCCCGGCAGGUGUCGGGUGAGCGGCUGGAGCAGGACCGAGCCCGGCGGGGCCCCGGUCCCGCACCGGGCGCGGUCCGGACUCGGCCCCAGCGCCCGCCCCGGAGCGGCUCCUCCCGCCCGCGGCGCUCCAGCCCCGCUCGUUCGGCGGAGCCCCCGGGGGCUCGGGCCCGGGGCAGGGGCAGGAGGGCGCCGCUCCGCCCAGGGGGGUGCGGUGACCUCGGGGCUCCGGGGCGGCUCCGCAUCCCCGGGGCGCGGCGGGGCCGGGGCCGCACCGGGGGCGCUGCCGCCGCUCCGCGCCCGCCCGGCGGCGCCCCGGGGCCGGUGCCGCGGGUCCGCUUCCAGCCGCGAUCCAGCGCCGCUCCGGGGAACGCCGCCCUCCUCCCGGGCCCGGCAGCGGCACGGCCCCGGCUCCCGGCGCCCAUCCCGGAGCCGCGGUGGGACCCCAGCCCCGCACCGGCCGGAGCGGGAGCAAAGCGGCAGCGCCGGGCUCGGUCCCGGCGCCCGUCCCGGAGCGGCUCCUCCCGACGCCGCGAUCCCAGUCCCCCAUCCCAGCCCAAAUCCCGUAUCCCGCCCGCCGAGGAGAAGUGGCUCCGCCCGGGACCCCCCGGCAGACACCGGCAGGACCCGGAUCCAGAUCUCCGGGCCCCGAUGCCGGUGCCGGCCUCACCUCAGCGCCCCGAGCUCCGCGCAGCGCUCCGAGCGGCGCUCCCGCCGCGCCCCGGGCCGAUCAUUCCCGCAUGGAGCGGAGCGGGCGCGGAUCCGCCGGGAUUUAUGGGCGGGGCCGGCCCGGCACAGGUGUGAGGGGCGGGGCCGCACAGGUGUGAGGGGCGGGGCCGCACAGGUGCGCGGGGCCCCAGAGCGCCUGCGCGGGGCGGGGCUGAGGGGAUUUAAACCGCGGCGGGACCCGGCGGUGCCAUUUGCUCCUCGGCGCUCGGGGCGGGUGGUUGCGGCCGGGCUGGGCUCUAUAUCUCUUUUCCUCUAUAUUUCUUUUACGUUUCUUUUCUUUUGUAUUUCUUUUUCUUUAUACCUCUCUUUUCUCCCCUCC